rnacentral:snRNA from 1 species
UUAAUUGAAACAAUGACGUGAUAAGCAGAUUGAAAUUGGACGAUAUGCAGAGAAGAGAUGCAUGCCCCUGCGCAAGGAUGACAUGCACAAAUCGAGAAAUGGUUCAAAUUUUU